rnacentral:rRNA from 1 species
CGCUGGCGGCAGGCCUAACACAUGCAAGUCGAGCGGUAGAGAGAAGCUUGCUUCUCUUGAGAGCGGCGGACGGGUGAGUAAUGCCUAGGAAUCUGCCUGGUAGUGGGGGAUAACGUUCGGAAACGGACGCUAAUACCGCAUACGUCCUACGGGAGAAAGCAGGGGACCUUCGGGCCUUGCGCUAUCAGAUGAGCCUAGGUCGGAUUAGCUAGUUGGUGGGGUAAUGGCUCACCAAGGCGACGAUCCGUAACUGGUCUGAGAGGAUGAUCAGUCACACUGGAACUGAGACACGGUCCAGACUCCUACGGGAGGCAGCAGUGGGGAAUAUUGGACAAUGGGCGAAAGCCUGAUCCAGCCAUGCCGCGUGUGUGAAGAAGGUCUUCGGAUUGUAAAGCACUUUAAGUUGGGAGGAAGGGUUGUAGAUUAAUACUCUGCAAUUUUGACGUUACCGACAGAAUAAGCACCGGCUAACUCUGUGCCAGCAGCCGCGGUAAUACAGAGGGUGCAAGCGUUAAUCGGAAUUACUGGGCGUAAAGCGCGCGUAGGUGGUUUGUUAAGUUGGAUGUGAAAUCCCCGGGCUCAACCUGGGAACUGCAUUCAAAACUGACUGACUAGAGUAUGGUAGAGGGUGGUGGAAUUUCCUGUGUAGCGGUGAAAUGCGUAGAUAUAGGAAGGAACACCAGUGGCGAAGGCGACCACCUGGACUAAUACUGACACUGAGGCGCGAAAGCGUGGGGAGCAAAC